GAUGAACGCUGGCGGCGUGCCUAAUACAUGCAAGUCGAGCGAACGGACGAGAAGCUUGCUUCUCUGAUGUUAGCGGCGGACGGGUGAGUAACACGUGGAUAACCUACCUAUAAGACUGGGAUAACUUCGGGAAACCGGAGCUAAUACCGGAUAAUAUUUUGAACCGCAUGGUUCAAAAGUGAAAGACGGUCUUGCUGUCACUUAUAGAUGGAUCCGCGCUGCAUUAGCUAGUUGGUAAGGUAACGGCUUACCAAGGCAACGAUGCAUAGCCGACCUGAGAGGGUGAUCGGCCACACUGGAACUGAGACACGGUCCAGACUCCUACGGGAGGCAGCAGUAGGGAAUCUUCCGCAAUGGGCGAAAGCCUGACGGAGCAACGCCGCGUGAGUGACGAAGGUCUUCGGAUCGUAAAACUCUGUUAUUAGGGAAGAACAUAUGUGUAAGUAACUGUGCACAUCUUGACGGUACCUAAUCAGAAAGCCACGGCUAACUACGUGCCAGCAGCCGCGGUAAUACGUAGGUGGCAAGCGUUAUCCGGAAUUAUUGGGCGUAAAGCGCGCGUAGGGCGGUUUUUUAAGUCUGAUGUGAAAGCCCACGGCUCAACCGUGGAGGGUCAUUGGAAACUGGAAAACUUGAGUGCAGAAGAGGAAAGUGGAAUUCCAUGUGUAGCGGUGAAAUGCGCAGAGAUAUGGAGGAACACCAGUGGCGAAGGCGACUUUCUGGUCUGUAACUGACGCUGAUGUGCGAAAGCGUGGGGAUCAAACAGGAUUAGAUACCCUGGUAGUCCACGCCGUAAACGAUGAGUGCUAAGUGUUAGGGGGUUUCCGCCCCUUAGUGCUGCAGCUAACGCAUUAAGCACUCCGCCUGGGGAGUACGACCGCAAGGUUGAAACUCAAAGGAAUUGACGGGGACCCGCACAAGCGGUGGAGCAUGUGGUUUAAUUCGAAGCAACGCGAAGAACCUUACUAAAUCUUGACAUCCUUUGACAACUCUAGAGAUAGAGCUUUCCCCUUCGGGGGACAAAGUGACAGGUGGUGCAUGGUUGUCGUCAGCUCGUGUCGUGAGAUGUUGGGUUAAGUCCCGCAACGAGCGCAACCCUUAAGCUUAGUUGCCAUCAUUAAGUUGGGCACUCUAAGUUGACUGCCGGUGACAAACCGGAGGAAGGUGGGGAUGACGUCAAAUCAUCAUGCCCCUUAUGAUUUGGGCUACACACGUGCUACAAUGGACAAUACAAAGGGCAGCGAAACCGUGAGGUCAAGCAAAUCCCAUAAAGUUGUUCUCAGUUCGGAUUGUAGUCUGCAACUCGACUACAUGAAGCUGGAAUCGCUAGUAAUCGUAGAUCAGCUUGCUACGGUGAAUACGUUCCCGGGUCU
rnacentral:rRNA from 1 species